rnacentral:rRNA from 1 species
UGGGGAAUCUUCCGCAAUGGACGAAAGUCUGACGGAGCAACGCCGCGUGUAUGAUGAAGGUCUUCGGAUUGUAAAGUACUGUCUUUGGGGAAGAACGGUCUUCUUGAGAAUAUUAAGGAGACAUGACGGUACCCAAGGAGGAAGCCCCGGCUAACUACGUGCCAGCAGCCGCGGUAAUACGUAGGGGGCAAGCGUUGUCCGGAAUUAUUGGGCGUAAAGGGCGCGUAGGCGGAUACUUAAGUCCGGUGUGAAAGAUCAGGGCUCAACCCUGAGAGUGCAUCGGAAACUGGGUAUCUUGAGGACAGGAGAGGAAAGUGGAAUUCCACGUGUAGCGGUGAAAUGCGUAGAUAUGUGGAGGAACACCAGUGGCGAAGGCGACUUUCUG